rnacentral:rRNA from 1 species
AAUAGAUACCCAGGUAGUCCACGCCGUAAACGAUGUCGACUUGGAGGUUGUUCCCUUGAGGAGUGGCUUCCGGAGCUAACGCGUUAAGUCGACCGCCUGGGGAGUACGGCCGCAAGGUUAAAACUCAAAUGAAUUGACGGGGGCCCGCACAAGCGGUGGAGCAUGUGGUUUAAUUCGAUGCAACGCGAAGAACCUUACCUACUCUUGACAUCCAGAGAACUUUCCAGAGAUGGAUUGGUGCCUUCGGGAACUCUGAGACAGGUGCUGCAUGGCUGUCGUCAGCUCGUGUUGUGAAAUGUUGGGUUAAGUCCCGCAACGAGCGCAACCCUUAUCCUUUGUUGCCAGCGGUUCGGCCGGGAACUCAAAGGAGACUGCCAGUGAUAAACUGGAGGAAGUGGGGAUGACGUCAAGUCAUCAUGGCCCUUACGAGUAGGGCUACACACGUGCUACAAUGGCGUAUACAAAGNGAAGCGACCUCGCGAGAGCAAGCGGACCUCAUAAAAGUACGUCGUAGUCCGGAUUGGAGU